GUGCUUGCUUUGGCAGCACAUAUACUAAAAUUGGAACGAUACAGAGAAGAUUAGCAUGGCCCCUGCUCAAGGAUGACAUGCAAAUCCAUGAAAAGAAUGGGAUUUUG